UACGGAGGGGGCUAGCGUUGUUCGGAAUCACUGGGCGUAAAGCGCACGUAGGCGGACUCUUAAGUCAGGGGUGAAAUCCUGGAGCUCAACUCCAGAACUGCCUUUGAUACUGAAGAUCUUGAGUUCGGGAGAGGUGAGUGGAACUGCGAGUGUAGAGGUGAAAUUCGUAGAUAUUCGCAAGAACACCAGUGGCGAAGGCGGCUCACUGGCCCGAUACUGACGCUGAGGCACGAAAGCGUGGGGAGCAAACAGG
rnacentral:rRNA from 1 species